AUCCCUGGGUCAGAGCUGGGGCAGGCGAAGCUCCUGGGGUUGGGAGAUGGAAUCCCGGAGGGCAGAGCCACCCGUGGGCAAGAAGCUGGAUGAAGAAUGAAGGUCACCGAGAACCGCGGGAACCAAAAUAAAUAAUAAAGUCGGAAAGGCAAGAGCUCAGCGGAGAACCGUCUACACGGAAACCACCCAAGCGAUGAGUUCUCUCAGGUCUGAGAGAGGCUUCCACUAAGGAGGUCGCUUAGAGGCGCGCUGGCUGCACCUCUUUGCCCACCGCCCUUUUGCCUGGGUCUCUUCGGAGCGGCCCAGCGGGCUCUGCGCGCUCCCCUCCGGUUCAGCUCCUGCUCCAGGGGAGGCCGGAUCCUCAGUUCAGCGCGCCCGACCAACCAUUUCUCUGGUCACGGCUUCCCUCCAGCUCCACGCGCAGUCCCGCAUUGCUCGGCCAGCUUUGUGGCUGUGGGUGAGUGUCCCGGCGGCAAUCGCUGGGGGAGGGGUUGGGGCAGAACUCAGGUUUUUUACCUCCUUUUUUCCUUCUUUCCUUUCCUUCUCCCACCUCCCGCUUUUUUUUUUUUUUUUUGGUUGCGGUUGCAAAUAUCAGUGCCCUUUCUCGCUUCCUAAUUUUUUUUUUCUUCCAAGGAUUAGAGAGGGGGCAGGUCCUCACAGAUCGCCAAAGAAAUCCCUAUCGUCCUAGUGACCACGGUUCCACCAGGUCUGUACAGAUUGUCUCUUCUGCUGGCUCCGCCGCGGCUCGUGGCUGUCUCUCUCCCUGAGUGCCUGUCCCCAGUCCCCUGUCCCCGUCCGUGCGUCUCUCUCAGGCUCCGGCGGCUUCGUCACUGCUCUCGGCUGUUCCCAGCCGCUCUGGAAGCCCCCUAGCCUUAAUGCAGCGCUCGACGACGUCACUGCGGGCGGCGGCCAAUCAGAGACUCGCGGUCCCUCUGUAAACCAUUAUCCAUCCCGGCGGCCGGGGAGAGUGCAGCGCGACCGCUUAUAGUGAAUCAACCGCGGGACCCGCGGCAAAGUACGCGGCGCGACGUGGCGCAGCGGCCCGGGGACCAGUCCUGACCCGGAGACAGCUAGUACCACUAGGCUCCCGAAAGACAGUUUCCUGGCCUGAUCAGAAUGAAGAACACAUGAUAAUUGUCUGGUAUGAAGAACGGGAGCUAUCACCCAAGGUCCACGACUGACAUGUUUUGCCCUCCAGCAAAUGAAGAGAACGAAGGGAGCAGAUACCAAGUGGGAUGACAUUGGACUGGAGGAAGAAAGGGAAGAUGACCUCCUGAAAGGCCUGAGCAGCAAUAGAGCUCUCAGAUGAUCCUUACUGCCAUGUGUUGCCCUGAAUUGUCUGACAGGCUUUAAUUGUGUCUGCUCUCAAUAACCUGUGUACUCCCAUUUGCCAAAUGCUGCUCUGCCAAAGCAUCCUCAAAUAAACUUGCUUAAAAUGAUGUCAGGGCCUUGCAUGGGCUAUUUAAUUCUAUCAAUGAUAAACAAUGUUAAUGUGUAACAUUCCAGACUCCACGAUGUCAUGUUUCAUUUAUAUAUGCCCAUACAUAUUUAAGCAGGAAAGAUAGAUUACAGAUGUGUAUUUUUCUACUAGUUACUUAUGUGAAAUGCAAUGAAAAAGACAGAAAUCUCAUAACCUGGCGAAUGUACCUAUAUGCCUUCUUUGCACACAUGGAUUUUUAUAUUCCUACCCAUCGUUAUGCAGUUAUAGAUGGAUAUGGGCAUGCACUGUGGUGCAAUUAGAUAGAUAUCCGAGGGCUCUCGGUACAUUUUCUGGCACCACCAGAAAUUUCCACAUUUUUCUUGUGAAUGCAACCACACACACUAAAUAAAGCAUAACACAUACUAUUGUAAUAUGAUAUAUUAAUGUAGAAUAAUAUAUUACAAUGUAAUGUACUACAUUAAUAUUAUAUCACCACUUAACUAUAUUAUAUAUCAAUUAUGGUAAUAUAUAUUUACUGUUAUAUUAAGACAUAGUGGGGUAUCAGAUAGAGUAGACAUGUUUUUUUUUCCUGAGGCAAUUAGGGUUAAGUGACUUGCCCAGAGUCACACAGGAGCAGACACUCCAUCUUUUUUGCUUCAGAGACCUUUGGCAACAGUCUGGUGAAUACUGAGGAGCCCUUCACUGAAUAAUAUUAUUAAAGGUAUGACAUAAAAUACAUAGGAUCACAAGGCAACCAAUUACAUUGAAAUAUAUCAUUAUCAAAAUAUUUUUUAAAUGAGUUCAAAGUCCCAGAUUAAGGGCCCUGGAAUAGAUUAUAAUAUAAUAUUACUAUAUUACAUAAUAUAUUGCUAUAUAUAGUAUCAUAUCAUAUCAUAUAAUAUGAUAAGCUACGAUUUGAUAUGUUGUGAUAUAAUAGGAUGACUAGACCCAUGAUGUCUUUGAUACAAGGAACUUCCAGAUGAGUAAACUCCCUCUACCUAUUCAGAUCAUCUUUGCAACUUAUAGUCAUAAAGAAUUGUCCCCCAAACUGAGAGGUUAAUGAUUUUCCUGGGACUAUAACAGGCUUCAAGACCUAUAGACCACAUUGUCUCUCAAAUAUAAGUAC
rnacentral:lncRNA from 1 species